rnacentral:rRNA from 1 species
AACGAACGCUGGCGGCGUGCCUAACACAUGCAAGUCGAGCGCGAAUGGAGCAAUCCUAGUAGAGCGGCGCACGGGUGCGUAACACGUGGAUAAUCUGCCUGGAAGACCGGAAUAACCUGCCGAAAGGCUGGCUAAUACCGGAUAAGCCUACGGGGACUUCGGUCCUUGGAGGAAAAGGUGGCCUCUGUAUACAAGCUAUCACUUCCAGAUGAGUCCGCGGCCCAUCAGCUAGUUGGCGGGGUAACGGCCCACCAAGGCAACGACGGGUAGCUGGUCUGAGAGGACGAUCAGCCACACUGGAACUGAGACACGGUCCAGACUCCUACGGGAGGCAGCAGUGGGGAAUUUUGCACAAUGGGCGAAAGCCUGAUGCAGCAACGCCGCGUGUGUGAUGAAGGUUUUCGGA